rnacentral:rRNA from 1 species
GACGAACGCUGGCGGCGCGCUUAACACAUGCAAGUCGAGCGAAGCGGCGGACGGGUGAGUAACACGUGAGUAACCUGCCUUAGACAUUGGGAUAGCCUCGGGAAACCGGGAUUAAUACCACAUGGUCUAAGAUGGACUCGCGUCCCAUUAGCUAGUUGGUGAGGUAACGGCCCACCAAGGCGACGAUGGGUAGCCGGCCUGAGAGGGUGAACGGCCACAUUGGAACUGAGAAACUGUCCAAACUCUAAGGUAGGCAGCAGUGGGUAAUAUUGCACAAUUGAGGGAACUCUGAUGCAGCGACGCAGCGUGAACUAAGAAGGCUUUCGAGUCGUAAUGUUCUUUUAUAUGGGAAGCGGUACCAUAAGAAUAAGCCCCGGCUAACUACGUGCCAGCCGCCGCGGUAAUUC